rnacentral:rRNA from 1 species
GGCAGGCCUAACACAUGCAAGUCGAGCGGUAACAGGAAUUAGCUUGCUAAUUCGCUGACGAGCGGCGGACGGGUGAGUAAUGCCUGGGAAUAUGCCUUAGUGUGGGGGAUAACUAUUGGAAACGAUAGCUAAUACCGCAUAAUGUCCUUGUUCAUUACGAGCGGGACCAAAGAGGGGGACCUUCGGGCCUCUCGCGCUAAGAUUAGCCCAGGUGGGAUUAGCUAGUUGGUGAGGUAAAGGCUCACCAAGGCAACGAUCCCUAGCUGGUCUGAGAGGAUGAUCAGCCACACUGGAACUGAGACACGGUCCAGACUCCUACGGGAGGCAGCAGUGGGGAAUAUUGCACAAUGGGGGGAACCCUGAUGUAGCCAUGCCGCGUGUAUGAAGAAGGCCUUCGGGUUGUAAAGUACUUUCAGUCGUGAGGAAGGGUGUGUAGUUAAUAGCUGCAUGCCUUGACGUUAGCGACAGAAGAAGCACCGGCUAACUCCGUG